rnacentral:lncRNA from 1 species
CUAAAAAUAGUUUUCAAAGACUUAUAUAUAUGUAUAUGUUCACAUUUAAGGUUUUCUACAAUAAACACACAAAAUAUUUAUUUACAGUGAAGAGUUACAAUGUCAGCAUCUAAAUUUGCUAUAUUUUAUAUUGUUCUGGUGUUUCUUGCUAGUUGUCAUGAAUGUAUGUCAUAUAUUUCUUACAUUUCGUCUAAUCCCUUUUUAUCAUUAUCAUUAAAAUAAUAAUAAUAUCCUCUAUCAUCUUUUUAAUUUUUGUAAGUUUUAAAUUUUAUACAGGUGCCGACCUCAACAGAGGGCCCAAACCAACAUGCUCUAAAACACCAAAGAAUGUUUGGUGUUGCAGCAACAAUUCACACUGUCGGGAAACCAAAGCGCUAUGUGAGAAGAUUUGUUGGGUCCGCGGUUGAAUUUUUCUGAAGAGAACUUCUAUAAUUAUUUAUUCCAAAUAUUUUUGUACUUACACGCACACACACAUAUAUAUAUAUAUGUCAUUAAUUGGUAAUUUUAUGUGGUGAUAUAUCCUAUCAGAACUAAAAUGAAAAAUUUGGAACAACUAUUUAACAUAAAUGUUUUGGAAUAUAACGAAAAUAAAAAUAAUAAAAAAUUAUAAUUUCUAGUUUUUCGGAUCAUCUUAGUACAACAUUUAUUUGUGGCAUAUAUACAUGUUCAUAUUUAAGGUUAUUGAAGAGAAAUUAGUAAAUGUGAUAGACAAUGAAUUUUACCCACUUUUAGCCAUGGUUUAUACAUGUUUUUAGAGUCUUUCAUAUGCAUUUGGACCCUUUUUAAAGAAAUUAUAGGUUCAAGUACUUACUAGAGGAAAAUGAUGUAUUUGGAGCUAUUUGGAGACCUUUUAAGCUUUGCUGGAAAUAGGGGAUAGUCGAUCAUUUAUCAGAAUAUCGACCGACGAUUACCAAGAAAUAUCUAUCGAUGUUGAGCUCUUCUCAUCGAUCGACGGUGAAGCCACCCGAGAAGUUAAUGACAAAAUUAGAAGAUUGUAAGUUUCAAAAAAGUUUCAAUAAUUACAUUCUAAGUCCAUGGCCGUCUGUUAGGCUAUAUUAUUAGGGUUUUGUAUCAUUUUAGAGGCAGAGUUGCCUAGAGACCUUUUGGUGACCUAGUUUGGAGAGAAGCAACAAACCACCAUUGAAGAGAGAGCUUAGGAUAGGAGAGAUAGAUCUGAACUGCAAAACAUAGAAGAUCUUGAACUCCCUUGCUUUCAUUUACUUUAUUGCUUACUCUUGUUAUUCAUUUUAAUUAAGUAUUAUUCAGACCAUCAUGACUAUGUGUUUCAUGAAUAUGUCUGAGUAGUCCUUGCUGUUAGGUUUAGGUUUCUCAAUAGGUUGAUACAUGUAAUGCUAACUUAAACUGUUGCUAGGGUGUUUAAAAAUAUAAUUCUUCACCUAGUUGUUCUUAAAGCUAAGUUUAGGAUUGAUCAUCUUAAGUAAAUCUAUAUUUUUCAUAGAACUAAGAAUAUAUUUUUAUUUAUUUAUGAAUCUAUAAAAUAUUUUUUGAGAAAAUAAGAACUGUUAUACAAACUAUUACUUAUAAUAUUAUUUCACUUCUGUAAAUGUAUGCAUGAAUUUCAUUAUAUCUAUAUAUUACCCAUUAAGAAUUGAAGAAUAUUUUUUUAAACUAUAUGAAAUUAGUAAAUAAAAUUGUAGUUGCUAAUUACUUUUGGCCACAUAUUUGAAUUUUCAAAAUUAGACACACACACAUAUAUAUAUAUGUCAUUAAUUGGUAAUUUUAUGUGGUGAUAUAUCCUAUCAGAAUAAAAUGAACAUUUGGAACAACUAUUUAACAUAAAUGAUUUGGAAUAUAACGGAAAAAAAUUAAGAUAAAAAUAUCUAGUUUUUCGGAUCAUCUUGGUACAACAUUUUUUAGGCAUAUAUACAUGUUCAGAUUUAAGGUUAUUGAACAGAAAUUAGUAAACGCUAAUUUGGUAGCUAAUUCUGUCGCUAGUUGAUUUUAUCCACAUAUUUAAUCAUUCAAUAUUGCGUAUAUAUGGUUGUCGCUAAAUGGUAUUAUAAGGUGAUGUCACUCGUAGCAAAAGUUAAAAUAAAUGUUUGGAAUAAAAUUUAAAAUAAAUAUUUUAAUUUAAAAAAUAAAACUAACCAAUCAUUUUAAAACUGCUUUUCCGGAUAAUCCUAAAUAUAGUUUUCAAAGUUUUUGAAACUUCAAUUCUGAUUUGUCUUUCUCCCAACGCACAUACUUAAUAUCCCAUCUAUGCUUUAGCACAUAGUCAACCAUAGCUUUUUUGAAAGCUUCCAAAUUCUCAAAAGCUUGUCUUAAUUUCAGAUCACCACUGCCUUUUAUGUACCUCAAAUACCCAUCUCUUUCAACACCAUCUUCAUCAUCGUCUGAACAUAAAGGUGUAGCAUACUCAUCAAAAUCUUCAUCAACAAAAUCAGCCACAUUCCUUUCUACUCUUGCUUCUUCAUCAAAUUGGUGUUCAUUCCUCUCGGCCUCAUAUCUCUCUGCCUCUGAAUCUGCCUCAUACCUCUCUGUCUCCUCUCUCUCGUUCUCAGCUCUUGACUCAUCUCCUUCUGUCUCUGGCUCAACAAAGAUAUCGACUGAAUCUACCCAUACUGAAGCUCUACACAUCUUGUUGAACUGAACGUCACCAUUUCUUAUCAAGUGUCGUUCUUCUAAACUUUCAUAUGGAAACUUAAACCACACUCUUUGACCAUAGAGACUUAUGGGUAGUUGGUUCAUGAGCUCUGGAAAUAAACGACUAGGAUAAGCUUCCAUUAUCCUAUAACCACCACCAUUGUAAAGAUCUUUACCAUCAACCUCUUCAAUUUUUCCACCAUAGUAGCAGCCAAAGGUGAUCAGUCUGUCUUCCUGAGAACUAUAAUUUACAUAAAAAUGGCACCAAAAGGUUAGAUAAACAAAUCCCAUACGACAUCUUACCCUAAUAUGUAUAAAAAUUCCAAAAUUUUCAUUCAUUGAAAUAACUCGACAUACCUCAUCUUUCAGACUCGCUAGUCACAGAAACACUUCUCGGUUCAAUUUGCCCACUCGAACUCGAAAUAUCCUACGAUUACUCUUCUGUUCUUUGAUUUCAGACUCCCAUGUCGUCUCUUCUUUGUGCUGUUUUUCUAAAAUCACGAUGAACCCUAAUUUUAAUUUUCCCAAUUUUUUUUUAACUUCAGAUGACAAAACGACGACGUUUUGUCAAUGCAAAUUGAAAAAAAAAAUAAUUUGGUCUAAUUUUAAACCGACCAAUACCAUUCCAGCCUCGUGUGUGCCAUGUCAGCACCCGAAGCUAAUUAAACCGAAAUCAGAAUCGGUUAUGUAGUGAUUAACCUGAUUAGAAAAGUUCAUGUCUGAAAUUCAAAAUUAAACUUAGUCCGUGGUGGUUUUGGCUUGAUUCAAUAGUUUGUGUAUGAAAACAAUGGAGACAUCAAGUUCAUGGUGGAAUCGGCCGUUUUCCCGUAUAUGUUCACAUUUAAGGUUUUCUACAAUAAACACACAAAGUAUUUAUUUACAGUGAGGAGUUACAAUGUCAACAUCUAAAUUUGCUAUAUUUUGUAUUGUUCUAGUGUUUCUUGCUAGUUGUCAUGAAUGUAUGUCAUAUAUUGCUUACAUUUCGUCCAAUCCCCUAUUAUCAUUAUCAUUAAAAUAAUAAUAAUAUCCUCUCUCAUCUUCUUACCUUUUUUAAGUUUUAAAUUUUAUACAGGCGCCAACCUCAACAGAGGGCCCAAACCAACAUGCUCUAAAACACCAAAGAAUGUUUGGUGUUGCAGCAACAAUUCACACUGUCGGGCAACCAAAGCGCUAUGUGAGA